GAUGAACGCUAGCGGCAGGCUUAAUACAUGCAAGUCGUGGGGCAGCAUGAAGUAGCAAUACCUUGAUGGCGACCGGCAAACGGGUGCGGAACACGUACACAACCUUCCUUUUAGUGGGGAAUAGCCCAGAGAAAUUUGGAUUAAUACCCCGUAACAUAGCGAUGAGGCAUCUCAUUGCUAUUAUAGCUUCGGCGCUAGAUGAUGGGUGUGCGUAUGAUUAGAUAGUUGGCGAGGUAACGGCUCACCAAGUCUACGAUCAUUAGCUGAUGUGAGAGCAUGAUCAGCCACACGGGCACUGAGACACGGGCCCGACUCCUACGGGAGGCAGCAGUAAGGAAUAUUGGUCAAUGGACGAAAGUCUGAACCAGCCAUGCCGCGUGAAGGAUUAAGGUCCUCUGGAUUGUAAACUUCUUUUAUAUGGGACGAAAAAAGGUCUUUCUAGAUCACUUGACGGUACCAUAUGAAUAAGCACCGGCUAACUCCGUG
rnacentral:rRNA from 1 species